CGCCGAUCACCUUCCCAGCAGGUGAGGAAAGAGUGAAAAUAUGGAGCAUAUAAAAUGGAGUCAUUUUCACCGAGCUGCUAAAAUAAUUAACAUAUGAAGUUUGAGGCAUUUGGAAAGACAUCACCCUUGUUUAACUAGCCUGGGAACUUCAACUUUUUUUUAACUUUCCAGUCCUGUAUCAAUGCCUGGAUAUACAUCUGGACCUCUAGGUAACCUUCUAAUUAUCCCCUGAAGGGCUCAUGUACCCAGUGAUUACCCUCUGAAAUAUUCACAUAUACAUCCAAUCAGACACCCAUUAUCCAGACCAGUCUGGGACUGACCAGACUUAUUGGCACCCACCUUCCAGACCACAUGGCAUGAAUCAUCCUGACUGCCUGACAUCCUGGACCAAUCCUAGGUCUAAGAAUGGAGAACUGAUAUUUCUCAAGAAUGUACCUUUUACUAUAAGAAGUUUUAAACUUUUCUUUCUUCUUUGGAAAACAUCUGGGGUUUUGCCUAGCUGUGUAUCCCAUCUGCAAACUCCAAGACCCUUGAACAAAUCUCUAUUAUUUAUUUCCAACAAAGCCUCCAGACUCUUUUUUUUUUUUUAGUUUAUUUAACAUAGAGACGCAAUAUUUUACAGGAGGUUAGGUCUGCACCAGGACAUUAGUAUUUGGGGAUCAAGUCAAGAAAAGAUGGUUGGCAACCUCCUUUGGAGAAAUAUGUGGAACAAAUACACUUACAUGCUUUCAAAGAAGAUCACCAGGAAUAAGAGAACUGAAGAUCCUGAUAUCAUUUUAGGACUUAAUGAGUUUUGUAAUAGGAAAGAGAUAACUGCUCACAAACAAAUAACUGGACUCUUCCUGCUUGCAGUGAUGUAAGAAAAAGAAUCCGACAUCUAAAUUUAGAUGAGAAUAAAAAAGUAAAAAGGCAGCCCCAAACUGGAGAUAAAAAUAAAAAAGAAGAGAUCAAUUUCUGCCUAUCGCAAGUGACGACGAGGCAGAAAAACCUUGGGCUGGACUAAUGCCUAGAAAUGAAAGAGCAGAAACAGAUAUCUCGUCACCAGAAAUUAUUUUAACAGCACUAAGUAUUUUGACCACAUUUUAUGAGGAAGAAUCUUGAAACUGAAUUAGAAUUCUAUUUUUAAGUCUUUAGACUCAAUAUAAACAAAAUCAGCAUUGUCCUUUUCUCUUAAAACAUCCCAGCUUUAUAGAUGUAUUUAUGUUGUCUUUAGGCAUUCUGUAACUAUACCAAAUAGGCAAAAUGUGAGAGUUGUAAAUUCUGUUUAAUUUAUUUAUCUGUUUAUAUUGUAAGUUGUUGACCUGGUGUCUUUGGAUGCUGAAGGGCCCAUGGAUAGAAUUCACGGCAUGCUUGCAUUUGAUGGGUAAAAUAAUAUACAUAUUUUUCUUUAGUAAAAUUUAAAUGAAAUUUAGAAAAUUCUCUAAGUAUAAAUGUUAGCAAAAAUCUUAGUACUUGUGACCUUGUAACCAGUAGAAAUCCCAGAUACUUUCAAAUCACAGUGAGGUUGUGGCAGAUAUUGUAAAAUAUCAUUUAUGUUUAUCAAUCUCUCAAGAAUACUUCAGUAUCAGUUCUUAGCCUCUCUUUCUACAGAUGCUCUUGCACUAGAGCUAGCCAACUUCAAUGCAACUCUGGGCCUUCAAAUGGUGGAUCUAUAUAACCUCAUAAUAGAAAUUUGACUCAAACAGCUUUAGAGAAUUUUGGUAUUCCUUGAGAGAAUCCAUCCAUUUCUUGUUAAGCAAACUAAGGGAACUUUAGUUAAAUUUAUGACAAUAUAUUUUGGAGAAUAUGGGUUGCCAACAUUUGUAACCAAAAAACCAAAAACUGGAAGUCAACUGGAUAUCUUACAUGAUAUGCACAAAGCCAUCAAAAAAGUUUAUCAUUCUUAUUCAUGCUAAGCAACAACAGCCAUCACACUGAGUUAUAAAAAUAAAAUUUAACUUUUGCUUGCCUA